UGAGCUUGGUAAUUUUACAGAAUGAUCGUAGCUGAUACAAGUAGAAAGAGAGUAGCUAUUUACUAUAUAUUAGAGGAGACUUAGUGUUCAUUUUACUGUUCAGUUAACAGUAAAGUACCAGUUUUGCCCUUGAGUGUAAAGUUCAUUUAACAGUAAAAUACCAUUUUUGCCCUCGAGUGUAAUGGAUAUAGAAAACGCCUGAUUUUUUUGUAGCGGGUUCAAUUGAACACCUAUUUCCCCCCUCUUCCUCCUAGACCGAACUUUCUUCUGUUCUUCAUUUAAUCUUCUGUCCUUGCUUGAAUCUUUUUCCCUCUCUCUCGCUCUCCUCUCCUCACUCUCUCUCUCUCUCUCCUCGCUCUGGGUUAUUGGCUUUUGAUGUGAGCAAGAAAAUGACGAGUCUUGGUAGUCGUUUUGGGUUCCUUUUUCUUCUUCUUCUUCUUCUUCGGGAAGAAAAGGGGGGUGGGUUAUUGGGUUUUGUUCUGCUGCAGAGGAAGACGAAUUUGGAUACUGUAAUCGGUUUUCCAGAUUUCACGCUUUGUGCAGCCUGUGCUUAAUCUGGAGGUUGUACAUAUUGAAGGGGGAGAGGUUUGUACUGGAAACAAGAAAAGAGGAAUCCAAAGAAAAAGGAAACUCCACAUAUCACUGUUCAUGAUUAGAAGUGGCUACUUAGCAUAGUUGCAACACAUAUCCUACGAAAGUAAGCUUCUGAGGACUAUCUUUGUUGGAAAAUUACCAGUGAAGGUGAAGAAGAAGGUCUUGAUCAGGGAGUUCAUUAAGUUUGAAGAGGUGGAGCCUGUGAGGAUUUGAUCUGAGCCGAUAGAGGAUAAAAGUAGCGGAAACUUAUAAAGAAACUCCAUAAGAAAGCUAACAGACGUAUCUCCAGGAGUCCCAGCUGACCGUGAUUGAGGGAGGAUUUUCAAUCGUAAACCCCAAAUUGGAAUUAUCCGAUUGAGCUGACACCCAUUUGAUCAAAUUAGGGGAUUCGAUUGAGCAAUCAGAGAUCUUUGAGGGAUUGAGCUCCAAGUCAACGCUAGCAGAUCAAAGCGGCAACUUCAAUUUUGUUUGGAGCCUUAGGACUAUCACAGUGGCCAAAAACAAUACAAUACUUAAUAACUCAGUAACUGGGAGUGUAGCUGCAGAUGGGAUGUGCAAGUCACCUUUUAAAGAGUAAGAAUUCUGCUAAUUACGUAGUGCAAGCUUUCGUUUAUAUAGGAAAUUGAAGCAAAUGAGAAGCAUUGAUAUCAACACCAACUUGAGGAUGCUAUUAGUAACAUAGGUCACAGUGAAUUAUACAACAUUUGGCUAGCACAAGGGUUCGGUAAUCUCUGCACUUUCAAAUUGACAGCUUCAUAACAGAAGCACACUAUUCAUAAGUCAGGGAUCGCUGAGUGUCAAUGAAGAGGAGGAUGAGGAAGAGGUUAAAUCUGAUUUGGAAGAGUUGUAUUGGAGUGACGAGAACGCUGCUGGUUUGAAUCAGGUACUGGAUAAGUUGAUGAAGGAAAUGACAAUCAUGAAGAGCGAAAAUUGAUGGGUGACAGAAUAAGUGAGCAAGCAAUGCUCGAUUAUGAUUUAGAUGGAUUUGUAUUGUGAAAGUGAAUCCGGAAUUCCUUCUAUGAUUUCGGUUCAUAUAUGGUCUCAUACGGUAAUUAAGCUUCCAAAUUUGCAAAAUCAGGUAAGAAUAACCGUAUUGUAUUUACCAUUUUUCUGAAUGAUAAACUGUUUACAUCAGUAUAAGUAGGUAAUAGAACUAUCUCCAGUUUUCUGAAUGAUAAACUGUCUACAUGCCUGUAUUCUUUUGAGAAUAGAACUAUCAGCAACAGCUACUCAAAGCUAAUAACAGCUGAGCUCGUGUGGACAGUUAAUUCUUUAUGUGCUUUCUAGUCCUGUCAUUUUAGACACCAUAAAGUUUUUUUUUUUUUUGGGGGCAAAAUAGACACCAUAGAGUUUGGAGAUAGAAUCUAGCAGUAGAAAGGACAUGCAGACCAUAUAUCAAGUCUUAUCUACCAUGAUGACAGAAAGCCAAGGCCAUGUGUAAAAGUAGGAGUGGGCAUAACACACCGGAAAUCCGGUUACCGACCCGUUCGCACCGGAUUUUCCGGCUUGGAAACCGGACCGAACAAAAAUGGCGCCGUUUUGGAGUCUCACCGAACCGAACCGGUUAUUAACGGUUCGGAAUCGGGUCCAUGUGUUGAACCGCCCGAGUUAAACCGCCCGAACCGAAUUUUUUAUUUUAUUUAUUUUUGAAUUAAUUUUAAUACUUGUCUAAUUAUGAUUGGUCACAAACCAAGCCUAUGUAAGCUUGCAUGCACCCGAUCUCUGCAGAAACCCUAAUAGGCUAAUACUCUCAGUCUCUCACAACUUGGCCGCACGACCUCAUUUGCCAAACUCUCUCGACCUCUCCGGCUCUCCCAACUCUCACGAUCUCUCUCGACCUCUCCCAACUCUCUCAAUCUCUCUUGACCUCUGAAAGAUCUGCUCUGAUCCCAGCUUCUCUCUCGGCCGAGAGCCUGCGAGGAUUAUGGAAGGGAUUAGCGCAACUCCGACUCCUACAGGGACAGCAACUCCAACUGCAGAUUCCGACCCGCACCGAAUGGUCUGUUACUGAGCCUAUAUAAAUCGGUUAGCGACCCGCACUGAACUGCAUUUCGGUGUAACCGAAAAAUGCGGCUCAGCCCACUGAAAAUCGGUUGCGGUUCCUAAAAUAGCCAAACCGCAAAAUACGGUGCGGAUGCGGUUUGAGUCUCAAACCGGGCCGACCCGCACCGAGCCCACCCCUAUGUAAAAGUGAACAGCAAGUUGAUAAACAUACAAAGGGAAAGCAGCAAGCUUUUCUGUGAAGAUUUCAAUCA